AAAUUGAAGAGUUUGAUCAUGGCUCAGAUUGAACGCUGGCGGCAGGCCUAACACAUGCAAGUCGAACGGUAACAGGAAGCAGCUUGCUGCUUCGCUGACGAGUGGCGGACGGGUGAGUAAUGUCUGGGAAACUGCCUGAUGGAGGGGGAUAACUACUGGAAACGGUGGCUAAUACCGCAUAACGUCGCAAGACCAAAGAGGGGGACCUUCUGGCCUCUUGCCAUCAGAUGUGCCCAGAUGGGAUUAGCUAGUUGGUGAGGUAACGGCUCACCAAGGCGACGAUCCCUAGCUGGUCUGAGAGGAUGACCAGCCACACUGGAACUGAGACACGGUCCAGACUCCUACGGGAGGCAGCAGUGGGGAAUAUUGCACAAUGGGCGCAAGCCUGAUGCAGCCAUGCCGCGUGUAUGAAGAAGGCCUUCGGGUUGUAAAGUACUUUCAGCGGGGAGGAAGGUGUUGUGGUUAAUAACC
rnacentral:rRNA from 1 species